UACGUAGGUGGCAAGCGUUGUCCGGAAUUAUUGGGCGUAAAGCGCGCGCAGGCGGUCCUUUAAGUCUGAUGUGAAAGCCCACGGCUCAACCGUGGAGGGUCAUUGGAAACUGGGGGACUUGAGUACAGAAGAGAAGAGUGGAAUUCCACGUGUAACGGUGAAAUGCGUAGAGAUGUGGAGGAACACCAGUGGCGAAGGCGACUCUUUGGUCUGUAACUGACGCUGAGGCGCGAAAGCGUGGGGAGCAAACAGG
rnacentral:rRNA from 1 species